rnacentral:rRNA from 1 species
CAGCAGCCGCGGUAAUACGUAGGGUGCGAGCGUUGUCCGGAAUUACUGGGCGUAAAGAGCUCGUAGGCGGUUUGUCGCGUCGUCUGUGAAAACCCGCAGCUCAACUGCGGGCUUGCAGGCGAUACGGGCAGACUUGAGUACUGCAGGGGAGACUGGAAUUCCUGGUGUAGCGGUGAAAUGCGCAGAUAUCAGGAGGAACACCGGUGGCGAAGGCGGGUCUCUGGGCAGUAACUGACGCUGAGGAGCGAAAGCGUGGGUAGCGAACAGGAUUAGAUACCCUGGUAGUCCACGCCGUAAACGGUGGGCGCUAGGUGUGGGUUUCCUUCCACGGGAUCCGUGCCGUAGCUAACGCAUUAAGCGCCCCGCCUGGGGAGUACGGCCGCAAGGCUAAAACUCAAAGGAAUUGAC